rnacentral:rRNA from 1 species
AGAUGCAAUCAUAUCAGCAUUAAUGCACCACAUCCCACCAUAACUACAAAGUUAAACGUGAUUGAGCGAGGUAGUAUUAGGACAGGCAAUCCUUAAGAUGUACUCAUGUUACAUUCC